rnacentral:rRNA from 1 species
GACGAACGCUGGCGGUGUGCUUAACACAUGCAAGUCGAACGGAAAGGCCCUGCUUUUGUGGGGUGCUCGAGUGGCGAACGGGUGAGUAACACGUGAGUAACCUGCCCUUGACUUUGGGAUAACUUCAGGAAACUGGGGCUAAUACCGGAUAGGAGCUCCUGCUGCAUGGUGGGGGUUGGAAAGUUUCGGCGGUUGGGGAUGGACUCGCGGCUUAUCAGCUUGUUGGUGGGGUAGUGGCUUACCAAGGCUUUGACGGGUAGCCGGCCUGAGAGGGUGACCGGCCACAUUGGGACUGAGAUACGGCCCAGACUCCUACGGGAGGCAGCAGUGGGGAAUAGUGCACAAUGGGCGGAAGCCUGAUGCAGCAACGCCGCGUGCGGGAUGACGGCCUUCGGGUUGUAAACCGCUUUCGCCUGUGACGAAGCGUGAGUGACGGUAAUGGGUAAAGAAGCACCGGCUAACUACGUG